rnacentral:rRNA from 1 species
AUGAACGCUGGCGGCGUGCCUAAUACAUGCAAGUCGCGCGAACAGACGAGGAGCUUGCUCCUCUGACGUUAGCGGCGGACGGGUGAGUACCACGUGGAUAACCUACCUAUAAGACUGGGAUAACUUCGGGAAACCGGAGCUAAUACCGGAUAAUAUAUUGAACCGCAUGGUUCAAUAGUGAAAGACGGUUUUGCUGUCACUUAUAGAUGGAUCCGCGCCGCAUUAGCUAGUUGGUAAGGUAACGGCUUACCAAGGCAACGAUGCGUAGCCGACCUGAGAGGGUGAUCGGCCACACUGGAACUGAGACACGGUCCAGACUCCUACGGGAGGCAGCAGUAGGGAAUCUUCCGCAAUGGGCGAAAGCCUGACGGAGCAACGCCGCGUGAGUGAUGAAGGUCUUCGGAUCGUAAAACUCUGUUAUUAGGGAAGAACAAAUGUGUAAGUAACUAUGCACGUCUUGACGGUACCUAAUCAGAAAGCCACGGCUAACUACGUG